AGGCCAAAUGGUUGGAGUGGUGUCAUUUGCAUGGCUUCCAAUUUCAAGGUUUACAGGCUCUCCAUCUCCCCAGCUGCCCAAAUAAACGCUAUGGACCUCUCAAUGACUCCUGCCCCUAAUGCUGGCUAAAGCUAAACACCGCAUCAGUAUCUGGUGCUGAGAUUUACAAUGGAGCUGUAACCGAACAGUUGUGACCACUUGGUGUCCCUUCAAAGCAGGUUCGACAUCAGAGGAGGAGCAGUAUUUCCGGCAGCCGCCUUGAUUGCUUCGAGGAAGAAGAAGAGAACCACAAUAAUGGCAAUGUCACAUGGACAGAAGGGAAGACUUUGACUCGGAGUUUCCAAGACAAACAGCUAGGUGAAAAGGAGAAGUAGAAUGGUGUGAGCUGAGCCGUUGGAUAAAACAGUGGGCGCCUACAUCGUGGGGUAUGUGGGAUUGAUCGGACGGUAGGCGUAGUUGGAUUGGGUUGAAGAGGAGCUGUCUAGAACUUGAACCUCAUCAUCUGGUCGUAGCAGGCAGAAACUGCAGAGGAUCACAUAUCCAUAUCCACUCCCAUCAAUCAACGUAUUUCUUACCUAAAAAUGGACGUUUUUUUUUUAUUAUUUAUAGCUAUGGUGUUACACAUGAUAAAC